ACGGGUGAGUAACGCGUGGGAAUCUACCCAACUCUACGGAAUAACUCAGGGAAACUUGUGCUAAUACCGUAUACGCCCUUCGGGGGAAAGAUUUAUCGGAGUUGGAUGAGCCCGCGUUGGAUUAGCUAGUUGGUGGGGUAAAGGCCUACCAAGGCGACGAUCCAUAGCUGGUCUGAGAGGAUGAUCAGCCACAUUGGGACUGAGACACGGCCCAAACUCCUACGGGAGGCAGCAGUGGGGAAUAUUGGACAAUGGGCGCAAGCCUGAUCCAGCCAUGCCGCGUGUGUGAUGAAGGCCUUAGGGUUGUAAAGCACUUUCACCGGAGAAGAUAAUGACGGUAUCCGGAGAAGAAGCCCCGGCUAACUUCGUGCCAGCAGCCGCGGUAAUACGAAGGGGGCUAGCGUUGUUCGGAAUUACUGGGCGUAAAGCGCACGUAGGCGGAUCGAUCAGUCAGGGGUGAAAUCCCAGAGCUCAACUCUGGAACUGCCUUUGAUACUGUCGAUCUAGAGUAUGGAAGAGGUGAGUGGAAUUCCGAGUGUAGAGGUGAAAUUCGUAGA
rnacentral:rRNA from 3 species